GUGAUCUAGUGAAUUUUUUUUUUCUGAAAGAAAAAGGGAUCCAGAUCAGUGAGAGACCAGGAACCAGGACUAGCGGGACGGGAAAGAGACCCAAGAAGCAUAAGAGGAAUAGGUCACAGCUCCGCCAUCCUGGCUUGCUUUUUGCUGGUCUCGAAGAAACUAUCCUGGCCACGUAGUGCGGGUUCCUCGCCCAUU